GGACUACACGGGUUUCUAAUCCUGUUCGCUCCCCACGCUUUCGCUCCUCAGCGUCAGUACUGGCCCAGACCACCGCCUUCGCUGCUGGUGUUCCUCCUGAUAUCUGCGCAUUUCACCGCUACACCAGGAAUUCCGUGGUCCCCUACCAGACUCCAGUCAUGACAGUUUCGAGUGGCGGCCCCAGGUUGAGCCUGGGGGUUUCACACCCGACUUAUCAAACCGCCUACGAGCUCUUUACGCCCAAUAAAUCCGGACAACGCUUGCACCCUACGUAUUACCGCGGCUGCUGGCAC
rnacentral:rRNA from 1 species